GCCGGGAUAGCUCAGCUGGGAGAGCAACAGACUGAAGCCGUUCGCCUUGAACUGAUUUCUGGAGGUCCCGUGUUCAAUCCACGGUCCUGGCA